rnacentral:tRNA from 1 species
CGGGGCGUGGCGCAGUGGUAGUGCGCCCGCUUUGGGAGCGGGGGGUCGUGAGUUCGAAUCUCGCCUCCCCGACCA